rnacentral:rRNA from 1 species
AUACAGAGGGUGCAAGCGUUAAUCGGAUUUACUGGGCGUAAAGCGCGCGUAGGUGGCUAAUUAAGUCAAAUGUGAAAUCCCCGAGCUUAACUUGGGAAUUGCAUUCGAUACUGGUUAGCUAGAGUAUGGGAGAGGAUGGUAGAAUUCCAGGUGUAGCGGUGAAAUGCGUAGAGAUCUGGAGGAAUACCGAUGGCGAAGGCAGCCAUCUGGCCUAAUACUGACACUGAGGUGCGAAAGCAUGGGGAGCAAACAGGAUUAGAUACCCUGGUAGUCCAUGCCGUAAACGAUGUCUACUAGCCAUUGGGGCCCUUGAGGCUUUAGUGGCGCAGCUAACGCGAUAAGUAGACCGCCUGGGGAGUACGGUCGCAAGACUAAAACUCAAAUGAAUUGACGGGG